rnacentral:sRNA from 1 species
GCUGGGCGUGGUGGUGCAUGCCUGUAAUCCCAGCAGCUUGAGAGGCUGAGGCAGGAGGAUGUUGGUUUCAAAGCCAGCCUCAGCAACAGCGAGGUGCCAAGCAACUCAGUGAGACCCUGUCUCUA